GUUUGGAGGUGUGUGUGUGUAUUUGAAGGAGGUGUGUGUGUGUGUUUGAAGAAGGUGUGUGUGUUAGGGGUGUGUGUGUAUGUUUGAAGGAGGUGUGUGUGUAUGUUUGAGGGAGGUGUGCGUGUGUGUGUGUGUUUGAAGGAGGUGUAUGUGUAUGUGUGAAGGAGGUGUGUGUGUAUGUUUGAAGGAGGGUGUGUAUGUGUAUGUUUGAAGGAGGUGUGCAUAUGUGUUUGGAGGUGUGUGUGUGUGCUUGAAGGAGGGUGUGUGUGUUUGAAGCAGGGUGUGUGUGUGUUUGAAGGAGGUGUGUGUGUGUUUGGAGGUGUGUGUGUGUUUGAAGGAGGUGUGUGUUAGGUGUGUGUGUGUUUGGAGGUGUGUGUGUUUGAAGGAGGUGUGUGUUGGGUGUGUGUGUGUUUGCAGGUGUGUGUGUUUGGAGGUGUGUGUGUGUUUGGAGGUUGUGUGUGGAGGUGUGUGUGUGUGUGGAGGUGUGUGUGUGUGCUUGAAGGAGGUGUCUGUGAUGUGAUCCCAAGAAAAGGAACCACGAGCACAGAUCCUGCCUUCAGGAAGCUCCCAGACUGAAGGAGGAGGCAUGGCCCCUGCCCUAAAAGAGUUCCCCUCUCCUGAUGCAAAGAAACACAGCUCCUGUCCACAAGGAACCCUGAAUCUGAUGAAGUAGAGCAUCACAAUCAGACAAACAUACAGACAGAUGGGGACACACACACCCUACAAAGACAUAGUGAACAUAAUACUACCUGGUAUUUUCACAGGAAAUAAAAUCGCACCCCCUCUGUGCUAAACACCCCCCAAGGAGGAUCUUGCUUCAUGCAACAACUCACCGGGCAGAGAUGAUUAUUGACACUUGACAAACAAGUGUCAACCUUGGUCUUCCCAUUCC
rnacentral:lncRNA from 10 species